GUGCCAGCAGCCGCGGUAAGACGUAGGGCGCGAGCGUUGUCCGGAUUUAUUGGGCGUAAAGAGCUCGUAGGCGGCUUGUCGCGUCGGCUGUGAAAUCCCGUGGCUUAACCGCGGGUCUGCAGCUGAUACGGGCAGGCUGGAGUUCGGUAGGGGAGACUGGAAUUCCUGGUGUAGCGGUGAAAUGCGCAGAUAUCAGGAGGAACACCGGUGGCGAAGGCGGGUCUCUGGGCCGAUACUGACGCUGAGGAGCGAAAGCGUGGGGAGCGAACAGGAUUAGAUACCCCUGUAGUCC
rnacentral:rRNA from 1 species